UACGUAGGGGGCAAGCGUUGUCCGGAUUUAUUGGGCGUAAAGAGCGUGUAGGCGGUCUGGUAGGUCCGUUGUGAAAACUCGAGGCUCAACCUCGAGACGCCGAUGGAAACCCUCAGACUAGAGUCCGGAAGAGGAGAGUGGAAUUCCUGGUGUAGCGGUGAAAUGCGCAGAUAUCGGGAGGAACACCAGUAGCGAAGGCGGCUCGCUGGGCCAUUCCUGACGCUGAGACGCGAAAGCUAGGGGAGCGAACAGG
rnacentral:rRNA from 1 species